GUCCUGAUAUGUGUGUAAGGAAUGCAUUGUGUGAAUCUGUGUUUGUAUGUGUAAGGGCUGCAAGGUGUGUUUCUGUGUAUGUACGGGAUGCAGUGUGUGUGUCUGUAAGGGAUGCAUUGAGUGUGUGUAAGGGGUGCAUUGAGUGUGUGUAAUGAAUGCAUUGUGUGUUUCUGUGUGUGUAGGGGAUGCAUUGUGUGUAACGGUUGCAUUGCUUGUGUAUG